AUCAUCUCUCGAAAGAACGACCUCGACCUUACAGACAACAAGUAGACAAGUAUCAUGUGACCAAGGCUGGUUUACGAUAGGUACAGGCUGUUACCUGAUUUCACCUCCAGAUUCUACAAGACAGGUUUGGCAGAAUGCGUCGGAAAUUUGCAAAAAUAGUGGUGGUUUUCUAGCGGCCAUAGAAACUGAAGAAGAAAAUCAACUGUUAAAAGAAUACGUAGGAUCCUUAGGUGCAACUUCAAAAGAUUAUUUCAUCGGAGGUUCUGAUUUACAAACUGAGGGCACUUUUGUAUGGGAACAUAGCGGUGACCUUGUUAAUUUACAUGGUAGUGGUUUGUUCCAUGACUGGAUGUCAUUAAAUCAGCCAGAUAAUACCGAUGAUCUCCAUUGCAUGGUACUUUAUGGACAAGCCAGUCAUAUGUGGAAUGAUGUUUCAUGUACAUACGCUAGGGAAUUCAUUUGUGAAAAAGACCCAU